rnacentral:rRNA from 1 species
AUAGAACACGAUUGGAAACUACAGGCAAUUGCUUUAAAACCCAAGAAUUUGGCGGUGUCUUAUUCUAUCAGAGGAACCUGUCUCUUAAUCGACAAUCCACGAAAAAUAUACCUUAUUUAGAAACAACAGCAUGUGUACUGCCGCCUGGAUAGGCCCUUGAAGUUACCUAUAAAUAAAUAAGAUGUAAAAAUUUUACGACAGGUCAAAGUGCAGCUAAUGGAAAGGGGAAGAUGGGUUACUAUCUAUAUCAUAGAUAAAGAUAUAAGAUAGUAUUAUAUCUAAAAAGAAUUUGAUAGUAAUAAUAUUAAUAAAAUAUUAUGAAUAAGAAUCCUAAGAUAAGC